rnacentral:rRNA from 1 species
GACGAACGCUGGCGGCGUGCUUAACACAUGCAAGUCGAACGGAAAGGCCCUGCUUUUGUGGGGUGCUCGAGUGGCGAACGGGUGAGUAACACGUGAGUAACCUGCCCUUGACUUUGGGAUAACUUCAGGAAACUGGGGCUAAUACCGGAUAGGAGCUCCUGCUGCAUGGUGGGGGUUGGAAAGUUUCGGCGGUUGGGGAUGGACUCGCGGCUUAUCAGCUUGUUGGUGGGGUAGUGGCUUACCAAGGCUUUGACGGGUAGCCGGCCUGAGAGGGUGACCGGCCACAUUGGGCCUGAGCUACGGCCCAGACUCCUACGGGAGGCAGCAGUGGGGAAUAUUGCACAAUGGGCGGAAGCCUGAUGCAGCAACGCCGCGUGCGGGAUGACGGCCUUCGGGUUGUAAACCGCUUUCGCCUGUGACGAAGCGUGAGUGACGGUACUGGGUAAAGAAGCACCGGCUACCUACGU